rnacentral:rRNA from 1 species
GACGAACGCUGGCGGCGUGCUUAACACAUGCAAGUCGAACGGAAAGGCCCUGCUUUUGUGGGGUGCUCGAGUGGCGAACGGGUGAGUAACACGUGAGUAACCUGCCCUCGACUUUGGGAUAACUUCAGGAAACUGGGGCUAAUACCGGAUAGGAGCUCCUGCUGCAUGGUGGGGGUUGGAAAGUUUCGGCGGUUGGGGAUGGACUCGCGGCUUAUCAGCUCGUUGGUGGGGUAGUGGCUUACCAAGGCUUUGACGGGUAGCCGGCCUGAGAGGGUGACCGGCCACAUUGGGACUGAGAUACGGCCCAGACUCCUACGGGAGGCAGCAGUGGGGAAUAUUGCACAAUGGGCGGAAGCCUGAUGCAGCAACGCCGCGUGCGGGAUGACGGCCUUCGGGUUGUAAACCGCUUUCGCCUGUGACGAAGCGUGAGUGACGGUAAUGGGUAAAGAAGCACCGGCUAACUACGUG